GCCUGGACAGCCUGGCCAAUUAAACAUUGGACUUCACAGGUAGGCCAUCUAGAGCAGGGCCCAUAUCCCGGCACAACGCCCGGUCUACGUUUUUGAACUACGACUCCCGUAAUGCCUCGGGGCAUGUGAACAAACGGUGUAAAGAUGCCACGGAGCCAACGACUUAGCCGGUAGCCAAACACUGGCUCUACGGGUCUUAAAGCACCUUCAGUUUCCUCCAUGAGCUGUGUGUCGCAGCCGCCGCAGCCGACUGUGACUUGUCCUCAGCUGUGCUUACUGCACCUACCUCCCACCAUGUCAACCAGUUCAACAGAAAACCAGAUUUGUAUGCACACAAAGAGGAUCUGAAUUAAACAGCGUGGUGAAAAUGCCAGUCAUAGUUUAUGAAAUGCCAAUGGUGGGUUGCCCUGAGGGCCUAAGAGGUGCCGACCAUGAACGGCAACGACAGUGAUUUGCACCUGGCCGAGGACCUUUGUUGCAGGUCAUUCUCACCUCUCUCUCCUGAUUUCCUGUCAUUUCUCGCUCUAAUAAAAGCAUUAAAAUGCCAAAAUAAAUGAAUAAAAUGGCAGUGACAUUGGAUACAUGGGUACAAAAAAUACCCUAUAGUAUUUUACAGUACAGUAUGAAUUUACAGUUGUACACCACUGCUCCCAUGGGCUACCAUGUGUGAUCUGUGGGAGCCUGAGGCGAUGUAUUAUGAGUGGAGAUU